CCCUAGCCCAGAUUGCAGCGGCAUCCUUUUGGGUUGCGGGCGGAGCGAAGCGAAGCCCGUAACCCAAAAGAUAUAGCGGAAAGCUGGAAAUUGC
rnacentral:sRNA from 1 species